GGGCCCGUAACUCAGCCUGGUAGAGUAUCGGGCUUUUAACCCGAGAGUCGCGGGUUCAAAUCCCGCCGGGCCCA
rnacentral:tRNA from 1 species